rnacentral:lncRNA from 1 species
AUGAGGCUGUCUCUUAGCCAGCCUCUCCUCCCUCCACUUCCUGUCUCUUUCUGUGCCUUCUGCAGGAAGACAAGACCUUGAUCUCCAGAGACUGUACCCAGAGCUGUGUCUGUACAGAAGGGAGCAUCCAGUGCCUGGUUUUCCAGUGUCCCCCUGGGACUUACUGCAGGGACAGUGGUGAUGGCAGCGGUACCUGUGUCAAAAUCAGUCUGCAAUGUCCAGCCAACAGUCGCUACACUGACUGCGUCCCCCUCUGUCCCCCUUCUUGCUCGGACCCAGAGGGCCGCUGCGAAGGCCCUGGCCCCACAGUCCCCUCCAUUUGCAAGGAAGGCUGUCUCUGCCACCCUGGCUUUGUACUUGAUUGGGACAAGUGCGUGCCCAGAAUUGAGUGUGGCUGCAAAGACACGCAGGGUGCUCUCAUUCCGGCAGGCAAGACCUGGAUUCCUAGAGGCUGUACCCAGAGCUGUACCUGCAUAGGAGGGGCCGUUCAGUGCCAGAAUUCCGAGUGUCCCCCAGGGACUUACUGCAAGGACAACAUUGAUGGCAGCGGAACUUGUGUCAAAAUCAGUAAGGGGGCCACAGGGGGAGGGUGGGGUGGGGGUGCUCAUGGCUGGGAGAGCCUGAGGCAGGGCAAGAAGAAACUUAACCCCAACUUAAGAGGUUGAAGAUAAGGAGGGAAGGAUUUGGGGGUCACAGGGCAUGGCUGAGUCCCUUCUGGUGUUAGUUAUCUCAAUGACAAGUUUCCCUUACUAGAUUAUUCUUUCCUUCUGUUCUCCCUAUUGGAGACAUAGCGCAUCCUCAGCAAAUGUUUACGAUUUGAACAAUAAGAAGAAGGAAAAAGCCCCAGACUUGGCUGGUCAUUCUGCCUAGUCUGAUGUUGACGGCCUCUGUUUCCUUGUGCCCUCUCCACUAACCCUGUAGCUCUGCAGUGCCCCGCCCACAGCAACUACACCGAUUGCCUUCCCACCUGUCUCCCUUCCUGCUUGGACCCCAGUGCCCACUGUGGGGAGCCCAGCCCUAAAGACCCCUCUACUUGCAAGGAGGGCUGCGUCUGUCAACCUGGCUACAUGCUGGAUAAAGACAAGUGUGUCCUUAAAGUUGAGUGUAGCUGCAGAGACAACCAGGGUGCUGUCAUUCCGGUGAGUGAGCAUGGAAAUAUCACACACACACACACACACACACACACACACACACACACACACACAC